rnacentral:rRNA from 1 species
CGGUGGAUGCCUUGGCACCAAGAGCCGAUGAAGGACGUUGUGACCUGCGAUAAGCCCUGGGGAGGUGGUGAGCGAGCUGUGAUCCGGGGGUGUCCGAAUGGGGAAACCUGGAAUGUCCGGAGUAGUGUCCGGUGGCCCUGCCCUGAAUGUAUAGGGGUGUGGGUGGUAACGCGGGGAAGUGAAACAUCUUAGUACCCGUAGGAAGAGAAAACAAGUGUGAUUCCGUGAGUAGUGGCGAGCGAAA